GCCGGGUACAGAGGUGCAUGCCUGUAAUCCCAGUGGCUUGGGAGGCUGAGACAGGAGGAUCGUGAGUUCAAAGCCAACUUCAGCAAUGGUGAGGCACUAAGCAACUCAGUGAGACCCUGUCUCUA
rnacentral:sRNA from 1 species